rnacentral:rRNA from 1 species
AACGAACGCUGGCGGCAGGCCUAAAACAUGCAAGUCGAACGCCCCGCAAGGGGAGUGGCGCACGGGUGAGUAACGCGUGGGAACGUGCCCCUUAGUACGGGACAACGUCGGGAAACUGACGCUAAUACCGUAUAAUAUCUCCGGAUCAAAGAUUUAUCGCUGAGGGAGCGGCCCGCGUCUGAUUAGCUAGUUGGUGAGGUAAAGGCUCACCAAGGCUACGAUCAGUAGCAGGUCUGAGAGGAUGAUCUGCCACACUGGGACUGAGACACGGCCCAGACUCUUACGGGAGGCAGCAGUGAGGAAUAUUGGACAAUGGGGGAAACCCUGAUCCAGCCAGGCCGCGUGUGUGAUGAAGGCCCUAGGGUUGCAAAGCACUUUCGUUGGGGAUGAUAAUGACCGUACCCAAAGAAGAAGCCACGGCUAAAUUCGUGCCAGCAGCCGCGGUAA